AUUGAACGCUGGCGGCAUGCCUUACACAUGCAAGUCGAACGGUAACAGGUCUUCGGAUGCUGACGAGUGGCGAACGGGUGAGUAAUACAUCGGAACGUGCCUAGUAGUGGGGGAUAACUACUCGAAAGAGUGGCUAAUACCGCAUGAGAUCUACGGAUGAAAGCAGGGGAUCGCAAGACCUUGUGCUACUAGAGCGGCCGAUGGCAGAUUAGGUAGUUGGUGGGAUAAAAGCUUACAAAGCAGACGAUCUGUAGCUGGUCUGAGAGGACGAUCAGCCACACUGGGACUGAGACACGGCCCAGACUCCUACGGGAGGCAGCAGUGGGGAAUUUUGGACAAUGGGCGCAAGCCUGAUCCAGCAAUGCCGCGUGCAGGAUGAAGGCCUUCGGGUUGUAAACUGCCUUUGUACGGAACGAAAAGCCCUGGGUUAAUACCCUGGGGUCAUGACGGUACCGUAAGAAUAAGCACCGGCUAACUACGUGCCAGCCGCCGCCGUAA
rnacentral:rRNA from 1 species